GUGAUUGUGUGUUUUUCCAGUGUACGUCCUGCCAGGCCUGCAGGGAGACUCGGGCAGCAGAGGACCCUCAGCCCCCUGCUCCUGCCCCCGGGUUCAGCCCUCCCAGAGACAGAUGGAUAACGUCCUGACGGUGUUUGUCGCAGACGGGGAGAAAGAGAUGAGGCGGCUGAGGGCGGAGAAUGUGAUGGUGCUGCGGACGGACAGAAGAGCGCUCUACAUCUACACUGAUUCUCAGUGGAUGAACGUUCUGGAGGGCCGCAGACCAAGCACCAACAUUUAACUCUGAGUGAUCCUUCCUUCUGCUCCUCUAAUGCAAGAUUUUACUAACGUUAAAGAUUUACCUGAAUCCAGACUGAGAAUUUCUGCAUGCCUGGCAUUUUUAACAGCUUUUUUUGUUUGUUUUAACUUUUUAGAAUGUUAAAACUUCUGCACCGUGUAUGUAAAA